GUUCCUGGCUCAGGAUGAACGCUAGCUACAGGCUUAACACAUGCAAGUCGAGGGGAAACGAUAUUGGAAGCUUGCUUCCGAUAGGCGUCGACCGGCGCACGGGUGAGUAACGCGUAUCCAACCUGCCCACCACUUGGGGAUAACCUUGCGAAAGUAAGACUAAUACCCAAUGAUAUCUCUAGAAGACAUCUGAAAGAGAUUAAAGAUUCAUCGGUGAUGGAUGGGGAUGCGUCUGAUUAG
rnacentral:rRNA from 1 species